GCCGGGUGUGGUGGCUCACACCUGUAAUCCCAGCACUUUGGGAGGCCGAGGUGGGUGGAUCACCUGAGGUCGGGAGUUAGAGACCAGCCUGACCAACAUGGAGAAACCCCAUCUCUA
ensembl:misc_RNA Metazoa_SRP Metazoan signal recognition particle RNA